rnacentral:rRNA from 1 species
UACGUAGGGGGCAAGCGUUGUCCGGAUUUAUUGGGCGUAAAGAGCGUGUAGGCGGCUAUACAGGUCCGUUGUGAAAACUCGAGGCUCAACCUCGAGACGCCGAUGGAAACCGUAUGGCUAGAGUCCGGAAGAGGAGAGCGGAAUUCCUGGUGUAGCGGUGAAAUGCGCAGAUAUCAGGAAGAACACCAAUGGCGAAAGCAGCUCUCUGGGACGGUACUGACGGCUGAGACGCGAAAAGCGUGGGGGAGCGAACAGG